UGGGUUCCAACAUUUAAAAACUGAAGGAUAC
rnacentral:piRNA from 1 species